rnacentral:rRNA from 1 species
GACGAACGCUGGCGGCGUGCUUAACACAUGCAAGUCGAACGGAAAGGCCCUGCUUUUGUGGGGUGCUCGAGUGGCUAACGGGUGAGUAACACGUGAGUAACCUGCCCUUGACUUUGGGAUAACUUCAGGAAACUGGGGCUAAUACCGGAUAGGAGCUCCUGCUGCAUGGUGGGGGUUGGAAAGUUUCGGCGGUUGGGGAUGGACUCGCGGCUUAUCAGCUUGUUGGUGGGGUAGUGGCUUACCAAGGCUUUGACGGGUAGCCGGCCUGAGAGGGUGACCGACCACAUUGGGACUGAGAUACGGCCCAGACUCCUACGGGAGGCAGCAGUGGGGAAUAUUGCACAAUGGGCGGAAGCCUGAUGCAGCAACGCCGCGUGCGGGAUGACGGCCUUCGGGUUGUAAACCGCUUUCGCCUGUGACGAAGCGUGAGUGACGGUAAUGGGUAAAGAAGCACCGGCUAACUACGUG